AAAAUGCAUAGUAAUGUGAGCGCUCACCUAUUUGUAAAUUAAAACGCCUCUCCGCUCAGUUGUUUACUAGUUGUGGUCGCAGGUAGUAAGAUCGUAAGAAAUACAGCAAAAUGUGUGGCUGCGUCUGUAAUCUUUUCUGCAAGCUUGUGAGCUUAUUCUUCUCCUUGUUAUUCAUCGUGGCCAUAAUAUUACUUAUAUUAUGGGCUGUUGGAGUUAUCUUCGUAUAGCGAGAAUCAAAAUUAGUCUCAAAUUAGGAGAAUGGAGAGACUGAAGAAAAGACGCAUAAUAAGAUGUAUUUUAUAACUAAUUUUAUUUUUAUAAAAAACAUGUGAAUCCAAAGAGAAUAAUGUGACAUAGAAUAUAUUUUAAUUAUUAUUUCAUAAGGGACAUUCCGACUCUAAAGAGAUACAACAAAAUGAAAUAUAUCCUUUAUAAACACAUUUAACUAGGCAAUAGACAAAUAAUUCAAUAUUCAUAUUCAUAUUUUAUAAUUACGUUAAUAACCUUUUAAUUGAUUUUCAAUCACCCUCAUAAUGCCAUAUAUUUCUGAAUUUUCAAUUAUUUAUCUGUUAUUCUCUCAACUACAAUUCUUAAAGCGUAUCAGUGGGUAUUAGAAGAUAAUAUUAUGACUAAAUUAUAUAUGUAUAAUAACAUGUAUUAACACAAUCUUUUAUCUAACAUAUUGCAAGUAACAAUAAUAAUACAGUAUUACAAUAUUAUAUAGAUAUUGUACUACUGUGAUAAUAAUAUGAUAAUUGAAAUGUAGGACAACAACGAAACGAUGGUUAUAAGUAUAAGAUUUGUCCAAAAUGCUUUUCAUUGCUAAGUGCAAAUUGUGAUCCCGGUAUCUGUAAUCAGUGUCGGGAAAAACUACGAUAAGAUAAGAUAUUUGUGUAACGCACAUAUAAAAAGUUUAGUCAUGUACUUUUUAUAUUUCAUACUUUUUUGCUUCUGCCGUCCUUAUCUUCUUUUGUUAGAAAAUGUAUUCCCAGGUUAUACAUUCACACCUAACAAGUUUUCCUUUAUUGUUUUGUCAAUUGUUAUGUUUUGGUGUAAAUAACAAUUGUAACAUAAUAACAAAAUUCUUUUCUAUAACUGACUCUCUUCAAUUUUGUUAAUGGUCUCUUCUAUUAUGUUUUAUUGGUUAAUUUUUUAUUUUAUUUUAUUUAUUUGUUAGAUUUUGUAUUUUAGUUGUAAAAUAAUAAGUGUAUCAGAAUCAAAAGUGUAUUGUGACGUACCUAAGUUAAAGUAUAUGAUUUGUUUUAAUAAAAUCUAGAUAACUAA